rnacentral:rRNA from 1 species
CCUACGGGUGGCUGCAGUGGGGAAUAUUGGACAAUGGGGGCAACCCUGAUCCAGCCAUGCCGCGUGUGUGAAGAAGGCCCUCGGGUUGUAAAGCACUUUCAGUGAGGAAGAACGCCUGGUGGUUAAUACCCAUCAGGAAGGACAUCACUCACAGAAGAAGCACCGGCUAACUCCGUGCCAGCAGCCGCGGUAAUACGGAGGGUGCGAGCGUUAAUCGGAAUUACUGGGCGUAAAGCGCGCGUAGGUGGCUUGAUAAGCCGGUUGUGAAAGCCCCGGGCUCAACCUGGGAACGGCAUCCGGAACUGUCAAGCUAGAGUGCAGGAGAGGAAGGUAGAAUUCCCGGUGUAGCGGUGAAAUGCGUAGAGAUCGGGAGGAAUACCAGUGGCGAAGGCGGCCUUCUGGACUGACACUGACACUGAGGUGCGAAAGCGUGGGUAGCAAACAGGAUUAGAUACCCUUGUAGUC